CCCUGGUAUACAUCCAGCCCUCCCUGUGCUGGGAGGGAGCUGCAGAAAGGUGACUGCUCUGACACAGAUACACCGAGUUCCACCAGCUGGGUGGGAGAGCUGGAGAAGAACCAGAGACUUUGGCAGGAAGCCAUGAGCAGAGAGAUGGAAUCUUGACUCCACCUCUCAGGCUCUCAGCGACUCUGUGAAACUUCUCAGCCUUUUCG
rnacentral:lncRNA from 12 species